rnacentral:lncRNA from 10 species
CCAACGGUGCCUCCCCGUGGUUAGUCCGUCCAAUCUCGGCACUCCACUUCCACACUUGCGCGACAGCCCUCUCCCCGCAAGCCCCUGCCCCUUUUCUAGACACCAGAGGCACUGACCUGUCUGUGACACCGCCUCAGUGUCUUACACUCAGAAGCCGCAUUCUCUGGCCGGGUUGUUUGGUCCAUUUUUGGUUGCCUCUGAGAUUCUGGGACCCCAGAGAGCGAUCUUCCUUCUUCCACCACAUGAGGACGCAGUGAGAAGAUGCUAUCCCUGAAGAAGCAAGAACUCACCAGACUCCUAAACUGCCAGCACCUUGCUCUCAGACUUCCCAGCCCCCAGG